CAGUAGCCGCGGGAAUACGGAGGGGGCUAGCGUUGUUCGGAAUUACUGGGCGUAAAGCGUGCGUAGGCGGUUUGUUAAGACAGAUGUGAAAUCCCCGGGCUCAACCUGGGAACUGCAUUUGUGACUGGCAAGCUAGAGUGUGGCAGAGGGGGGUGGAAUUCCGCGUGUAGCAGUGAAAUGCGUAGAUAUGCGGAGGAACACCGAUGGCGAAGGCAGCCCCCUGGGCCAACACUGACGCUCAUGCACGAAAGCGUGGGGAGCAAACAGGAUUAGAUACCCCCGUAGUCCCUGUCUCUUAUAC
rnacentral:rRNA from 1 species